rnacentral:rRNA from 1 species
AGUGAACGCUGGCGGUAGGCCUAACACAUGCAAGUCGAACGGCAGCACAGUAAGAGCUUGCUCUUACGGGUGGCGAGUGGCGGACGGGUGAGGAAUACAUCGGAAUCUACUUUUUCGUGGGGGAUAACGUAGGGAAACUUACGCUAAUACCGCAUACGACCUACGGGUGAAAGCAGGGGAUCUUCGGACCUUGCGCGAUUGAAUGAGCCGAUGUCGGAUUAGCUAGUUGGCGGGGUAAAGGCCCACCAAGGCGACGAUCCGUAGCUGGUCUGAGAGGAUGAUCAGCCACACUAGAACUGGGACACGGUCCAGACUACUACGGGAGGCAGCAGUGGGGAAUAUUGGACAAUGGGCGAAAGCCUGAUCCAGCCAUACCACGUGGGUGAAGAAGGCCUUCGGGUUGUAAAGCCCUUUUGUUGGGAAAGAAAAGCAGCAGGUUAAUACCCCGCUGUUCUGACGGUACCCAAAGAAUAAGCACCGGCUAACUUCGUG